AUUGCAGGAAAUAUGACUUCAGCAACAGAACACUUUCUGGUAACACUUUCUGGUAACACUUUCUGGAACACUUUACCUAACUCUCUAGUUUCUUCCCCAAAUCCCCAAAACUGUAACCUUAAACUGUCUACUAUUGACCUCACCCCUUUCCUAAGAGGUCUGUAGGGGGCGUGCAUAAGUGCACAACAUGCCUAUCAUCCCUGUCCUUUUG